UGCGAAAAAAAAAAAAAAAAAAAAAAAAAAAAAAAAAAAAAAAAAA
rnacentral:ribozyme from 13 species